rnacentral:rRNA from 1 species
GACGAACGCUGGCGGCGUGCCUAAUACAUGCAAGUAGAACGCUGAAGAGAGGAGCUUGCUCUUCUUGGAUGAGUUGCGAACGGGUGAGUAACGCGUAGGUAACCUGCCUUGUAGCGGGGGAUAACUAUUGGAAACGAUAGCUAAUACCGCAUAACAAUGGAUGACACAUGUCAUUUAUUUGAAAGGGGCAAUUGCUCCACUACAAGAUGGACCUGCGUUGUAUUAGCUAGUAGGUGAGGUAAUGGCUCACCUAGGCGACGAUACAUAGCCGACCUGAGAGGGUGAUCGGCCACACUGGGACUGAGACACGGCCCAGACUCCUACGGGAGGCAGCAGUAGGGAAUCUUCGGCAAUGGGGGCAACCCUGACCGAGCAACGCCGCGUGAGUGAAGAAGGUUUUCGGAUCGUAAAGCUCUGUUGUAAGUCAAGAACGGGUGUGAGAGUGGAAAGUUCACACUGUGACGGUAGCUUACCAGAAAGGGACGGCUAACUACGUGCCAGCAGCCGCGGUAAUACGUAGGUCCCGAGCGUUGUCCGGGUUUAUUGGGCGUAAAGCGAGCGCAGGCGGUUUGAUAAGUCUGAAGUUAAAGGCUGUGGCUCAACCAUAGUUCGCUUUGGAAACUGUCAAACUUGAGUGCAGAAGGGGAGAGUGGAAUUCCAUGUGUAGCGGUGAAAUGCGUAGAUAUAUGGAGGAACACCGGUGGCGAAAGCGGCUCUCUGGUCUGUGACUGACGCUGAGGCUCGAAAGCGUGGGGAGCGAACAGGAUUAGAUACCCUGGUAGUCCACGCCGUAAACGAUGAGUGCUAGGUGUUGGAUCCUUUCCGGGAUUCAGUGCCGCAGCUAACGCAUUAAGCACUCCGCCUGGGGAGUACGACCGCAAGGUUGAAACUCAAAGGAAUUGACGGGGGCCCGCACAAGCGGUGGAGCAUGUGGUUUAAUUCGAAGCAACGCGAAGAACCUUACCAGGUCUUGACAUCCCGAUGCUAUUUCUAGAGAUAGAAAGUUACUUCGGUACAUCGGUGACAGGUGGUGCAUGGUUGUCGUCAGCUCGUGUCGUGAGAUGUUGGGUUAAGUCCCGCAACGAGCGCAACCCCUAUUGUUAGUUGCCAUCAUUCAGUUGGGCACUCUAGCGAGACUGCCGGUAAUAAACCGGAGGAAGGUGGGGAUGACGUCAAAUCAUCAUGCCCCUUAUGACCUGGGCUACACACGUGCUACAAUGGUUGGUACAACGAGUUGCGAGUCGGUGACGGCGAGCUAAUCUCUUAAAGCCAAUCUCAGUUCGGAUUGUAGGCUGCAACUCGCCUACAUGAAGUCGGAAUCGCUAGUAAUCGCGGAUCAGCACGCCGCGGUGAAUACGUUCCCGGGCCU